AAUUAGUUGUAGAUCGGUUUAUAUGUUAUGAAAAAAGUCUUUAAAACACAAAACCUCUAUAGCGAAAAUCUAUUGAAAGGAGGUAUUGUGCAAUGACAACAGGAAAAGUUAAGUGGUUUAAUGAGUCCAAAGGUUUUGGAUUUAUUGAGCAGGAAUCUGGUGAAGAUGUUUUUGUGCAUUUUUCUGCCAUCUCAGGUGAUGGUUUUAAAACCCUGAAAGAAGGUCAGAAGGUGCAGUUUGACAUUACAAAAGGCCCAAAAGGCCCACAGGCAGCAAAUGUAAUACCAGAGUAAGCUUUAAAAUAGCUUAAACCAAAAAGCCCGCAUAUUUAAAAUAUGCGGGCUUUUUUU
rnacentral:sRNA from 1 species